rnacentral:rRNA from 1 species
UACAGAGGGUGCGAGCGUUAAUCGGAAUUACUGGGCGUAAAGCGUGUGUAGGUGGUUAGAUAAGUUAGAUGUGAAAUCCCCGGGCUUAACCUGGGCACUGCGUUUAAGACUGUUUAGCUAGAGUACUGUAGAGGAUAGUGGAAUUUCCAGUGUAGCGGUGAAAUGCGUAGAUAUUGGAAGGAACACCAGUGGCGAAGGCGACUAUCUGGACAGAUACUGACACUGAGACACGAAAGCGUGGGGAGCAAACAGG